CGGGGGGCAGCAGUUUCGAAUCAUUCACAAUGGGCGAAAGCCUGAUGGUGCGACGCCGCGUGAGGGAUGAAGGCCUUCGGGUUGUAAACCUCUGUCACCGGGGAAGAAACGCUUCAAGUUAAUAGCUUGAAGCCUGACUUAACCCGGAGAGGAAGCAGUGGCUAACUCUGUGCCAGCAGCCGCGGUAAUACAGAGACUGCAAGCGUUAUUCGGAUUCACUGGGCGUAAAGGGUGCGCAGGCGGCCAAGUGUGUCAGAUGUGAAAUCCCGAGGCUCAACCUCGGAACUGCGUCUGAAACUACUUGGCUAGAGUAUUGGAGAGGGUAACGGAAUUCACGGUGUAGCAGUGAAAUGCGUAGAUAUCGUGAGGAACACCAGAGGCGAAGGCGGUUACCUGGACAAUUACUGACGCUCAGGCACGAAAGCGUGGGGAGCAAAAGGGAUUAGAUACCCGAGU
rnacentral:rRNA from 1 species